rnacentral:lncRNA from 1 species
UGCUUGUCUUCUUGGUGAUUUUAUCUUUCCAACGAGUAUUUUUGGAGAAUUUUUGGACACGGAUAGCUAGGUCAUUUAAGGGGUCAAAGUUGGUACGUUUUAUUUCUCCGCGAGCCCACGCAUCAGCACUUCUCCUUCCUCACGUCACCAGAAGCAUGUCGUUGGCCUGCAGGGGCCAACGACACCUGGCCGGCGCCUAUGGGAGCUCUCCUCCCCUCCAAUCCUUGCGCUCGGGGGUGAGUCACCGCGCCAUCCUUAUCCUCGCCCUCCCCCUCCUAUAUAAAGCCCCUAACCCUCCC